rnacentral:rRNA from 1 species
GAUGAACGCUGGCGGCGUGCCUAAUACAUGCAAGUCGAGCGAACGGACGAGAAGCUUGCUUCUCUGAUGUUAGCGGCGGACGGGUGAGUAACACGUGGAUAACCUACCUAUAAGACUGGGAUAACUUCGGGAAACCGGAGCUAAUACCGGAUAAUAUUUUGAACCGCAUGGUUCAAAAGUGAAAGACGGUCUUGCUGUCACUUAUAGAUGGAUCCGCGCUGCAUUAGCUAGUUGGUAAGGUAACGGCUUACCAAGGCAACGAUGCAUAGCCGACCUGAGAGGGUGAUCGGCCACACUGGAACUGAGACACGGUCCAGACUCCUACGGGAGGCAGCAGUAGGGAAUCUUCCGCAAUGGGCGAAAGCCUGACGGAGCAACGCCGCGUGAGUGAUGAAGGUCUUCGGAUCGUAAAACUCUGUUAUUAGGGAAGAACAUAUGUGUAAGUAACUGUGCACAUCUUGACGGUACCUAAUCAGAAAGCCACGGCUAACUACGUGCCAGCAGCCGCGGUAAUACGUAGGUGGCAAGCGUUAUCCGGAAUUAUUGGGCGUAAAGCGCGCGUAGGCGGUUUUUUAAGUCUGAUGUGAAAGCCCACGGCUCAACCGUGGAGGGUCAUUGGAAACUGGAAAACUUGAGUGCAGAAGAGGAAAGUGGAAUUCCAUGUGUAGCGGUGAAAUGCGCAGAGAUAUGGAGGAACACCAGUGGCGAAGGCGACUUUCUGGUCUGUAACUGACGCUGAUGUGCGAAAGCGUGGGGAUCAAACAGGAUUAGAUACCCUGGUAGUCCACGCCGUAAACGAUGAGUGCUAAGUGUUAGGGGGUUUCCGCCCCUUAGUGCUGCAGCUAACGCAUUAAGCACUCCGCCUGGGGAGUACGACCGCAAGGUUGAAACUCAAAGGGAUUGACGGGGACCCGCACAAGCGGUGGAGCAUGUGGUUUAAUUCGAAGCAACGCGAAGAACCUUACCAAAUCUUGACAUCCUUUGACAACUCUAGAGAUAGAGCUUUCCCCUUCGGGGGACAAAGUGACAGGUGGUGCAUGGUUGUCGUCAGCUCGUGUCGUGAGAUGUUGGGUUAAGUCCCGCAACGAGCGCAACCCUUAAGCUUAGUUGCCAUCAUUAAGUUGGGCACUCUAAGUUGACUGCCGGUGACAAACCGGAGGAAGGUGGGGAUGACGUCAAAUCAUCAUGCCCCUUAUGAUUUGGGCUACACACGUGCUACAAUGGACAAUACAAAGGGCAGCGAAACCGCGAGGUCAAGCAAAUCCCAUAAAGUUGUUCUCAGUUCGGAUUGUAGUCUGCAACUCGACUACAUGAAGCUGGAAUCGCUAGUAAUCGUAGAUCAGCAUGCUACGGUGAAUACGUUCCCGGGUCU